ACGGAAGGCAGCAGUGGGGAAUAUUGGGCAAUGGGCGGAAGCCUGACCCAGCAACGCCGCGUGAGGGAAGAAGGUUUUCGGAUUGUAAACCUCUGUCCUUGGUGACGAAGGAAGUGACGGUAGCCAAGGAGGAAGCCCCGGCUAACUACGUGCCAGCAGCCGCGGUAAUACGUAGGGGGCGAGCGUUGUCCGGAAUGACGGGGCGUAAAGGGCGCGUAGGCGGCCCGUUAAGUCUGGAGUGAAAGUCCUGCUUUUAAGGUGGGAAUUGCUUUGGAUACUGAUGGGCUCGAGUGCAGGAGAGGAAAGCGGAAUUACCGGUGUAGCGGUGAAAUGCGUAGAGAUCGGUAGGAACACCAGUGGCGAAGGCGGCUUUCUGGACUGAAACUGACGCUGAGGCGCGAAAGCGUGGGGAGCAAACAGGAUUAGAUACCCUGGUA
rnacentral:rRNA from 1 species